rnacentral:rRNA from 1 species
CUGGCUCAGGACGAACGCUGGCGGCGUGCCUAAUACAUGCAAGUCGAGCGAACAGAGAAGGAGCUUGCUCCUUCGACGUUAGCGGCGGACGGGUGAGUAACACGUGGGCAACCUACCUUAUAGUUUGGGAUAACUCCGGGAAACCGGGGCUAAUACCGAAUAAUCUGUUUCACCUCAUGGUGAAACAUUGAAAGACGGUU